CUCGAGUAGACUAUCAAGUAGCUUCUCUGAAACACGUUAUAAAUAUACUUCUAGUUCAUAAUUAAUAGUUUCUUCUAAAUGGAAAUAUCCCCUUUUUUCAUUUUUUAAAGAAAUAAAGUUGCAACUCAAGUUUCUACAGGGGCUGUAAACAGUGAAUAAACAUGGCUUUUUCUCACCUAACC